UUGUUAGCUAUUAAUAAUAAAAAUAACUUUAUUAACAAUAUUAUUAUCCUCUCUCCAUAUGAAUUCUCAUCCCAUAUGAAUUGUGGGCUUCUGCAGGAGAAGGUUAGCAUGCCUGAGGCAAAUUCAUCCGUUCCAUUCGAAGCCAGAGAACAAGCAGGGAAGGAAGAUGACCCAGGAUUGGACAUCUGCAGGCCUGGUGGACAGGCUGUGCCAGAGACCGAGGCAGGGUGGAAUCCCAAUGAUCCUGAGGAUCGAGGAAAGGGGGGAUAUUUUCAGGGUCCGCUUCUGAAAGCCAUGAAAAGAGUAAGCCAGCCACUCAUUAUGUGGCCUAAAUUAAGAGAGGUCCAAUAGGGCCCUGAGGAAAGCCGGCUCCCCCUCUACACACACACACUUUGUUCCAGAGGCCGCAGGACUGCCUCAGGCGAUACACAAACUGGGACCUGGAGGCCCGGGGCAGUACAGUGAUCCUGAAUCCAUAUUUCAGAUCUCAGAAGUGCUCCAGAUACCCAUGGGAAACUCCAAAAGUUGGCCAUCGGUCCUGCUACCAGUCCUGUACAGCUACGAGUGGCUGCGUGGAGGGUGCUCAAUAACCGGGUUGAAGCUGAGGAUGAAAAGGAAGACAAGAAGAUGAAAAGGCAGGCCGCCCUGCUCGCUGUGGCCCACCAGUCUCCUCAAGGAUACAGCAGCCCCUGAGAAGGAAGAGAUUCCCCUACAUGUUUCAAGCAGGGCUAACUUGGAACUAUGGGCCCAAGGACAGGUGGAGUGAGCAGCCGGUGCCACGCCAGGAAAGGUAAAACGGAGGCAGGUAAGUGGCUGGCCCCGGGUAAAACAUAGACCCCUGGAAGCCAGAAGCCAGAAGGAGGAAUCUUUCCUGGAAUCAGUAAGUUUUCAGAACAGGGGAAUCUAGAUUUGCUCGAGACCUUAGUGCUCUCAAUGCUGUGCGCUCCUGGGCCUAUAAUGGUAAACGUCUUCCCUUUGUUUCUGGCACAGAGCACCUAAAAUUCCUGUCAUUGCCCAUAUGAGAGCCACAUGGGGCAUCUUUGGUUAUGAGAAUUACUUUAGUGCUCAGUUCCUGAAAUAAGUCCAGAGCCAGAAAGGCGAAGUGGUUU
rnacentral:lncRNA from 1 species